GAGAGGCAGGCGGCACAGUAGCGGUGUCCACACAGCGUCUGCUGAGCCCUCCUCAGCACAUUUUGGCAACUGCAGCACAGGUUCCUCGCAGAGUCCUUGCAAAAAGAGGAAAAAAAAAAGACCAACGAUGGCAAGAUCCAUGGAGAUCAGGAUAUAAGAAGCCCAUUUGACCAAUGUUUUCUUGAUGAUUUGAUCACUGUAUUUCGACCACCAAGAGUGUUUCCCUUGAAGAAGAUCUGAUCCUCUCUAAACCACACGUGGAACAGAGAACACAUUUAUUGCUCUAGACCAAAAAGCUACCGUUUAUCCAGAUGCAUCCCUCUUUAUAUGAGGAAUAACAAUACCUCCUUCAACUAGUGGCAAAUAGUAAAGAUAUGUGGGCUCUGCUGUUGUGGGUGAAAUAUCUUCCCUUUCCAGUUCUAGACUAGAAAUUGGAAUCGUUUGAUGAGGGCGGAAGGAUCAGGCCAUGUCACAUUUGGUCCAGCUCAGUUUCUACUUUCACAAAGAGCACGUCAUCGCACACAAAUUCCCAGCAGCGACCCUGGAACUCCUCCAGGGAGACAAACCUGGAAAUGCCUCCAGGCACGUUGGCAUUCUCCAUGGGCCACUGGACCCAGAGCGCGGUGAGGUCCGGCUCAAAAUGUCUUUGGAUGGAAUGCUCCUGCUGCUUCUGGUUAAGGAUGAGCAAAUCCAUCUAGGGUGAUGAGAAACACAACACACACACAAACACAGACACACCAGUCAGAGUUCCAGCUGACCUCUCUCACUCCUUUUCCUUGACCAUUUACUGACACUUAGUAGGCUGUUUCCUGGAAAUCAUUGGAUGGCUGCCUUUUUCUUUUUUUAUUGUGCUCAGGAAGACAACUCAGCACUUUUACAUUUCAAAGUCUGGUAAUCAUAAAACUGAAUCUCGACAUAAUAUUUUCCACUACAACUAUCUUUUGCUUCCUAAACUCAAGUACGACGUUACCACGAAGGUUACAAUAGGAGCGCCCUCUUCUGGGAAAUCCCGUUAAGAAAUUGUCAUGAUCAGGAUUAAAGGCCCGGCGAGGCAAAGAGGUGUUUCUUAGGAGCUGUGACCCAUGUGAAUUGGGAGUAGAAAAUUCCAGGGAGAUGCGGGUGUCCCUUCCCCUGCGGAUGCAGCUGAUGUACUUGAAGGAGUGUAAAUGGCAAAGAAAAUCCUUUCAGGAAAGAUCAGAGCCCAAGACGUGAACCUGAAGUCUCUUUACCUUCAUUCGUUCAUUCAAUCGUACUUAUCGAUUGCCGAAUGUGUGUGAAAGCACUGUACUAGGUACUUGGGAGUGUACAAUGUAACAAUAAACAGACACGUUCCCUACCCAAAAGGACCUGGAUAGACGAAACUAGCCCAAGGCAAACAGAACAUGAGACAGUCACUUGGGUUGGCUUUGGGUUUUGGGCCCUGGGAUAUGUGUAACCCUGGAGAAAGAAACCAAGUCCAGUUGUAAGCUUUCUCUGUGGGAGAAGCCACGGGGCUCACACUGGUGGUAGAGUAGCCUGGGAGCCGGCAGCAUGCCAUUUGUUUCUGUCACAUGGGGACAGGUACUGCUCUUUUCAUGAUUUGUAAAUGUGGUUUGACCUCACCAUGUGACCAAAAUGCUGGAUAGUUACCUGGGCCUAUUCCAUUAUUCCAUCCCUUGUGGCUGAGUUAUUUUGGGUGGGUGAUGGCAUCACCCAUCCAUCCACCUUAGAAUGGAAGUUCCUUACAACUAGAGUUGUGUAUUUUCUUUGCUCAAUCUCUGUGUUAAUAAAUGUAUUAAUAAAUGCUUA